rnacentral:rRNA from 1 species
UACGAGAGGCCCAAACGUUAUUCGGAAUUACUGGGCUUAAAGAGUUCGUAGGCGGCGCAGAAAGUAGGGUGUGAAAGCCCUCGGCUUAACCGAGGAAUUGCGCUCUAAACUACUGUGCUUGAGGAACCUAGAGGUGAGCAGAACAGAUGGUGGAGCGGUGAAAUGCGUUGAUAUCAUCUGGAAUACCGGAGGCGAAGGCGGCUCACUGGGGGUUUUCUGACGCUGAGGAACGAAAGCGUGGGGAGCAAACAGG